UCCCUGGUGGCUCAGAUGGUAGAGAACCUGUCUGCAAUGUGGGAGACCUGGGUUCAAUCCCUAGGUUGGGAA
rnacentral:tRNA from 1 species